CAGAGACCCAGAUCAGACUUCUUCCAUGGCUGCGCUUGCUGGUCUCCACACAAUGAGAAAUAGAUACUUAAGGUUGCUGCCAUGAUUUGGUUCUUCAUCUGAGGUGAUCUUCACUGGCCCCUUGGAGAGUUGUGAUG
rnacentral:lncRNA from 1 species